rnacentral:rRNA from 1 species
CCAUAGCUUCGAGUGACUGCGGAGGAUCAUUAUCGAUGGCCGCGCCGUGAGCGCCCUAGUGCAGGAUCGGCCGGCCACUGACCACACCCUUACUUUACGAGCACCUUUCGUUCUCCUUCGGCGGGGCAACCCGCCGCUGGAACCACAUCGAACCUUUUUUGCAUCCAGCAUUACCUGUUCUGAUAACAAAUAAUCGUAACAACUUUCAACAAUGGAUCUCUUGGCUCUGGCAUCGAUGAAGAACGCAGCGAAAUGCGAUAAGUAGUGUGAAUUGCAGAAUUCAGUGAAUCAUCGAAUCUUUGAACGCACAUUGCGCCCCUUGGUAUUCCAUGGGGCAUGCCUGUUCGAGCGUCAUCUACACCCUCAAGCUCUGCUUGGUGUUGGGCGUCUGUCCCGCCUCGGCGCGCGGACUCGCCCCAAAGGCAUUGGCAGCGGUCCACGGCCCCUCUCGCGCAGCACAUUGCGCUUCUCGAGGCGGCCCGGCCCGCAUCCACGAAGCCCACAUUACCGUCUUUGACCUCGGAUCAGGUAGGGAUACCCGCUGAACUUAAGCAUAUCAAUAGNCGGAGGAAA